rnacentral:rRNA from 1 species
GAUGAACGCUGGCGGCGUGCCUAAUACAUGCAAGUCGAGCGAACAGACGAGGAGCUUACUCCUCUGACGUUAGCGGCGGACGGGUGAGUAACACGUGGAUAACCUACCUAUAAGACUGGGAUAACUUCGGGGAACCGGAGCUAAUACCGGAUAACAUGUUGAACCGCAUGGUUCAACAGUGAAAGACGGUCUUGCUGUCACUUAUAGAUGGAUCCGCGUCGCAUUAGCUAGUUGGUAAGGUAACGGCUUACCAAGGCAACGAUGCGUAGCCGACCUGAGAGGGUGAUCGGCCACACUGGAACUGAGACACGGUCCAGACUCCUACGGGAGGCAGCAGUAGGGAAUCUUCCGCAAUGGGCGAAAGCCUGACGGAGCAACGCCGCGUGAGUGAAGAAGGUCUUCGGAUCGUAAAACUCUGUUAUUAGGGAAGAACAAAUGUGUAAGUAACUAUGCACGUCUUGACGGUACCUAAUCAGAAAGCCACGGCUAACUACGUG